rnacentral:lncRNA from 1 species
GUGGGGGUGCGGAUGGGGGGACGCCUGCCCAGUUUUCAAAGCUGGAGACUGAGGCUUGUAGAAGGAAACUGGGGCGGAGGUGGGGGCAGGGCCCCAGGGGCAAUUGACAAGAGCAGAAGCCCGAUGGGGGUGCGCGUGCGACACAGACGGAUGGGGGCGGGGAGAGACGCAGAGGGGUACAGACAGGCAGACAGGCAGAGAGAAAAACAUCGAGAGAGACACACACACCAAGAGACAUACAGAGAGAGAUAGACAGGGUGAGGAAGGGAGGGAAGACGGGGAGACAGAGACAGUCCCAGAGACAGAUUCAGAGGGAGAAGAGGGUUGGGAGGAUCACAAAAAGAAACAGAAAGGGGCUAAUCUCCAGCUCCGGGGCUCAAGCGAUCCUCCCACCUCCGCCUCCCAAAGAGCUGGAAUUACAGGUGUGAGCCACCAAGCCCGGCCAAUCCCAGUACUUUCAGAGGAUGAGGCAGGUGGAUUACCUGAGAUCAGGAGUUCAAGAUCAGCCUGGGCAACAGUGAGAUCCCAUGUCUACAAAAAAUACUAUUUAAAAAAAUUAAAAAGAAAAAGAAACUGGACAAAAAGGAGAAAGACUGUGAGAAAUAAGCACUUACGGAAAGAAAUCUGCAGAGCAAAGUGCCAAGAAAGAGCCAGCAGGCCUUGGAGGGGAAUUCUCUGAGAACUGCCUGCCUUGUGUGGUCUCACUCCUAAACAGCCCAGACAGAUAAGGAGACCUGGACUGCUCUCCCUCUCCCCACUUGCUGGGGUUGGGUGGGUGAGUGAGUGGGUUGGGUGGGGUCCAGGAUACCUGGCAAGGCUGAAAAGGGGCCUCCUUUCCCAAUUCACAGGGCGGCUCUAGCCCCCUCACCCUCGGGCGGAUGAUCUCUUCUAGGCUGAGUUAAGGAGAACUCACCUGGGCUGAGUUCUAAGUACUUUACGCACAUUAAUCCUAAUGCCAGGUGGUAUGCCCAUUUAAGGCAGGAGGAAACCAAAGUGAAGUUACUCUCCUGCCCGGCUCACACCUGUAGUCCUAGCACUUUGGGCGCCCAAGGCAGGCGGAUCACUAGAGCUCGGAGUCUGAGACUAGCCUGGGCAACACGGCGAAUCCCCAUUUCUACAAAAAUGCAAAAAUUAGCUGAGUGUGGUGGCGCACACCCUGUGGUCCCGCUACUCGGGGGCGGGGAGGGAGCAGGCUGGGGUGGGAGAGUCGCUUGAACCCAGGAGGCAGAGGUUGCAAUGAGCCGAGAUCAGGCGACUGCACUCCAGCCUGGGCCACAGAGCGAGACUCCCUCUCAGGGGGAAAAAUAAAGUUACUCUCCUAGUUCGAGCUAGCAAAUGGCACAGGCCUCAUACUAGGGUCUGAAAUUAUGUCGAGGUUUGCCCUCUGAGAAAACUCAAGAUUGGCAAGGUGGAGGUCUUUCACUAUAACUGAUGGUUGCAUUGAUUGAAAAAAGCUUUCAAAAAAAAAAAA